UGAUCAAAAUUAGAUCAAAAAAUUUUAGUUAAUAGGUCUAAAUCAAAUCUAAUGUCUGUUGGAAAAUGUAGGUAAUUUCAUGCAUAUAUUUUCAAACUUUUUUGAAUAAAUUACAAUGAAAUAUAAUUAGAUUAAUCAUAUUAAUCUAAUAUGUAUAUGAUUUAAUCAUCAAAUCAACUUACUCUAGGAUCUAUGACAUGAUUUGUUACAUCUAAAAUCUAAAA
rnacentral:lncRNA from 1 species